rnacentral:rRNA from 1 species
UACGGGGGGGGCAAGCGUUGUUCGGAAUUACUGGGCGUAAAGGGCUCGUAGGUGGCCAACUAAGUCAGACGUGAAAUCCCUCGGCUUAACCGGGGAACUGCGUCUGAUACUGGAUGGCUUGAGUUUGGGAGAGGGACGCGGAAUUCCAGGUGUAGCGGUGAAAUGCGUAGAUAUCGGCAGGAACACCCAGGGGGAAACCAGUCGACUGGGCAGCACCUGACGCUGAGGUGCGAGAGCGUGGGGAGCGAACCGG